AGGUCCACAGGCAGCCUAUUGCCCAAAGACUCUGCUCUUCCCUGCAAGUCUGUGCCAAGGAGGGACAGAGCCAGCUGGAGGCGUGGCCGACCAGGCCCCUCCAAGAGGUCAUCAACCGGACCUUCUAAUACUGGCAAGGUGUGCCCCAGCAGCUGGUGCCUCAAGAAGAGACUGGAAGAGCUGGAGGAGGGAGGCUGGACCUGUCAGCUAUAGGGAGCCCAGUGACCAAGGUGAACUGGGAGCAACACUGAAGUGGUUUCAGAGGUCCUAAACCAAGAGAUGACCAACCCCCG